CGCUGGCGGCAGGCCUAACCAUGCAAGUCGAACGGUAGCACAGAGAGCUUGCUCUCGGGUGACGAGUGGCGGACGGGUGAGUAAUGUCUGGGAAACUGCCUGAUGGAGGGGGAUAACUACUGGAAACGGUAGCUAAUACCGCAUAACGUCGCAAGACCAAAGAGGGGGACCUUCGGGCCUCUUGCCAUCAGAUGUGCCCAGAUGGGAUUAGCUAGUAGGUGGGGUAAUGGCUCACCUAGGCGACGAUCCCUAGCUGGUCUGAGAGGAUGACCAGCCACACUGGAACUGAGACACGGUCCAGACUCCUACGGGAGGCAGCAGUGGGGAAUAUUGCACAAUGGGCGCAAGCCUGAUGCAGCCAUGCCGCGUGUAUGAAGAAGGCCUUCGGGUUGUAAAGUACUUUCAGCGGGGAGGAAGGUGUUGUGGUUAAUAACCACAGCAAUUGACGUUACCCGCAGAAGAAGCACCGGCUAACUCCGUGCCACAGCCGCGGAGGGUGCAAGCGUUAAUCGGAAUUACUGGGCGUAAAGCGCACGCAGGCGGUCUGUCAAGUCGGAUGUGAAAUCCCCGGGCUCAACCUGGGAACUGCAUUCGAAACUGGCAGGCUAGAGUCUUGUAGAGGGGGGUAGAAUUCCAGGUGUAGCGGUGAAAUGCGUAGAGAUCUGGAGGAAUACCGGUGGCGAAGGCGGCCCCCUGGACAAAGACUGACGCUCAGGUGCGAAAGCGUGGGGAGCAAACAGGAUUAGAUACCCUGGUAGUCCACGCCGUAAACGAUGUCGACUUGGAGGUUGUUCCCUUGAGGAGUGGCUUCCGGAGCUAACGCGUUAAGUCGACCGCCUGGGGAGUACGGCCGCAAGGUUAAAACUCAAAUGAAUUGACGGGGGCCCGCACAAGCGGUGGAGCAUGUGGUUUAAUUCGAUGCAACGCGAAGAACCUUACCUACUCUUGACAUCCAGAGAACUUAGCAGAGAUGCUUUGGUGCCUUCGGGAACUCUGAGACAGGUGCUGCAUGGCUGUCGUCAGCUCGUGUUGUGAAAUGUUGGGUUAAGUCCCGCAACGAGCGCAACCCUUAUCCUUUGUUGCCAGCGGUUAGGCCGGGAACUCAAAGGAGACUGCCAGUGAUAAACUGGAGGAAGGUGGGGAUGACGUCAAGUCAUCAUGGCCCUUACGAGUAGGGCUACACACGUGCUACAAUGGCGCAUACAAAGAGAAGCGACCUCGCGAGAGCAAGCGGACCUCAUAAAGUGCGUCGUAGUCCGGAUUGGAGUCUGCAACUCGACUCCAUGAAGGUCGGAAUCGCUAGUAAUCGUAGAUCAGAAUGCUACGGUGAAUACGUUCCCGGGCCUUGUACACACCGCCCGUCACACCAUGGGAGUGGGUUGCAAAAGAAGUAGGUAGCUUAACCUUCGGGAGGGCGCUUACCA
rnacentral:rRNA from 1 species